GCCAGACUCCUACGGGAGGCAGCAGUGGGGAAUAUUGCACAAUGGGGGAAACCCUGAUGCAGCGACGCCGCGUGAGCGAUGAAGUAUUUCGGUAUGUAAAGCUCUAUCAGCAGGGAAGAAAAUGACGGUACCUGACUAAGAAGCCCCGGCUAACUACGUGCCAGCAGCCGCGGUAAUACGUAGGGGGCAAGCGUUAUCCGGAUUUACUGGGUGUAAAGGGAGCGUAGACGGCGGUGCAAGCCAGAUGUGAAAGCCCGGGGCUCAACCCCGGGACUGCCCUUGGAACUGCUUGGCUGGAGUGCGGGAGGGGCAGGCGGAAUUCCUGGUGUAGCGGUGAAAUGCGUAGAUAUCAGGAGGAACACCGGUGGCGAAGGCGGCCUGCUGGACUGCAACUGACGUUGAGGCCCGAAAGCGUGGGGAGCAAACAGGAUUAGAUACCCGAGUA
rnacentral:rRNA from 1 species